CCCAGAUAUCUCACUUGUGAAGAUAGGUGUAGGAGAAGGUGCCAGGGCUGUGGUUCUGAGUGUCAGGCUCAAGUCUUCCCAAGCAGAUCCUGUGGAUAGAAGCCCCGCAGGAUUUUUUUUUCUUCCGUGCUUAUGAAGACACCUCUUUCUACAUGGGCUUUGGUGGAGGUCAGUGGUGGAGAAGCAGUGCAUCUAAAUCAUGGUGGGAGUGUUCGGUCCUUCCCGGCUUCGUGAGGUUGAUUCCUGACCACCUUGCUGGGAAUGGCGCAGCUCACACUGUAAUCAACUUGACACAGAAUCUGGCAAGCACAUUGGCAUGUGAGAUUGAUUCCUGACCACCUUGCUGGGAAUGGCGCAGCUCACACCGUAAUCAACUUGACAGAAUCUGGCAAGCACAUUGGCAUGAAGGUGUUUGCUUUAGAUAUGUCCCUGACAGCAGCAGCCUCUACAAUGUUCUGAAUAGGGAACUGAAUGUCCUUGUCCUUAGGCACGAAGCUGGAGCGGCUGGAGCAGCGAAUUGGCUGCACAAGGAACCACUUUUUGGCACAACCGACCCUUGUCUCUUCUUUGUUGGUCACCUUGGAGCCAAGACCUGAGAGAGCUGAGGGGUUUUUGUUUAUCUGUUUGUUUUUGACAGAGCAGCCCACACAGGCCUGGACUUUAUUGUGUAGCCAACUCUGGCCUCAAAUUACAACUAUUCUUCUGCCUCAGCCUCCUGAGUGCUGGAACUACAGGUAUAAAGGACCAUGCUUGGCACGCAGGAGGCCUGACAUGCCGAUGUGCCUCCCUCCCGCAGCGGCAGCUCCGGUUGUUUGAACUCCCCUGUGCUUCAACAGACUGAUUUUUCUACCCCGAGCUGAGAGAUGACUCAGCAACUAAGCAUGCUUACCGCCCUAUGCCAUCAAGAUGGCUCAGCACUGGCCACCAAGCUUGAAGACCUGAGUUUGGUCUCCUGGACACGAGUAGUGGAAGGAGAAACUAACCCUUCAAAAACCGCACCCUAAGUGUGUCGUGGGCCUGUAGUGAGGCAGAGUAUCACCGCAAAAGGCUUCAUGGCAGCCUCAAGAAGGUCAGGAAGGAAAUGGAGCAACGGAAAGGAGCCAGAAAUGAGACACACCCUUCAAGACCUCCAGAGACCUACUUCCUCUGGCCUAGGAGCAUCUUCUAGCUUACAACCUCCCCAGGAGCCAUCAAGUCACGAACUCACUCUCGGAUUGAUUUAUUGGUUAGAUCACAGCCCUCCCAGUCCAGUGACUUCAAAACCACCAGAUGCCUGAGCUGAGGCCUCGCUGUUCAACACACGAGCCUCUGGGGGACGUUUCGUAUCCAGACUGUAACACCAGCUUACACGACUGACUACAAAUGGGGCAGAUUUUAACGGAGAGGGGAAAGUCCAAAAAUCAAAAGAGAAGGUAAACAGCAGGUCUGGCCAGUCUCGUCACUGUUUAACUUGCCAGGUGAUGACAGUACUUCUUUUUCCUGUUUUGAGACAGGAGGCUCCAUCCAGUGAGCCUUACCCUGAGCAGCUGCAAAGGCCUUUACGCUUGACUCUCUUCGUCCUGGCAGCAUGCUACCACCUAAACAGGAAUUAUGAUCCUCAGUUUACUGAAGUACCGUGGAGGGCAGGAAUGUCCUAUCAUUUCCUCAAGGUCACAGCUUGAUUGCAUCUUUGGAGGGUAGAGGGCAGGUCAAAGAUCUAAGGUCAGGGGGAGUGGCAGGCUGGCCCCACAUCCCCAAAGGCCAAGACAGGAGGAUAGAGGAGAACUAGCCUGGAAAAGGAAGGUCGUCAGCAGAGUGGAGGGGGAUGGAAAGAGCUUCGGGGCUAACUAGGAGACAGUAAAUAUAUUUAAGAGCUGCCAUUUGAACCACGUUGUUCUGUAUAAUUAAUGCAUCUUAAGAAAACCCUAAAAAAUCCAAAGGUCUUUUGUGUCCACGUUUGCUGUUUUAUUGCUGUACCAUUUUUGCUUUUAUAAAUUCUAAAAUAUGUACUUUA